CUAGUCUACAGAAAACACAUAACUAACCUCUUCACCUCUUCCCUCUUUUUUUUUUACUGAAAAGUUAUAAAGUUUGAUGAAACUCCAAAACCUCUUAAUAUAAAGUCUGGAACUCUUUUGCUAGAUUGAUAGAACUUUAUUAAUCCCUCAGGUAGGUUCCUCCAGGAAAUUCAGUUUCUAUUUAAUUCCAGGUUCUCCCACCUCUCCUCCUCCAUCAGCCUCCACUGCCUCCCUUUCCUCCCCUUUUCCUCUCCUCCUCUCUCUGUGAUGGUGUCUGUUCUCUCCAUAACUGGGUUGCUGCUGCUGGUCAUACUGCUACUAGUGCUGAGACGAUGCAUCCAGAGAAAAACUGGAGUGAGUGAUGCUGUGACAGCUGCCACCUCUUCAUCAGUGAGAAGAACAUCAGCAGAUGAUGGAAAUGGGUCAAAGAUGAUGAGAGAGAGCGAUCCAGCGGCAGUUUAUUCUUCAGUGCACAGAACAUCUGACAUCAACUAUGCACAGAUCCCCAUCAAGACAAACUGCAGACAGAGAGAUCUUCCAUCAGAGCCAGCGGUCAUCUACUCCUCACUGAAGCUGACCCACACACCUACACCACAGUGUAACCAGUCUGACCAGUGAUGUCCAACUGGCUGCUAAACACAUCCCUGCGCUCCUCUAUAUAUUAUAUAUUAUUUAUUUAAUCAUAUUCUGUGUGUGUUUACAGUUGUACAGCUGCACUGGACCAGUUUGAAUGUAAAGCUCAGGAUGAAGUGCAAAGUCAUACAUUCACUGAAUACACCUCUGAAACAUUUGAGAUUCAAAAAUGAAGCUUGUUUUCUUACCUAAAGAAGAGUCAACAGACGUCAGCCUGCAUGUUUGUGCCUGAAGAGCUCAUCUUUGAAAACAGCUGCAGUCUCAGAUAUUAACAGUGGAUUUUGGGUGUUAUUGUUGUUGUUAAUUAUGUUUUUUUUGUUACAGUGUCACUUUUACUAUUUUUA
ensembl:lncRNA